rnacentral:rRNA from 1 species
CCUACGGGUGGCUGCAGUGAGGAAUAUUGGUCAAUGGCCGUAAGGCUGAACCAGCCAAGUAGCGUGAGGGAAGACUGCCCUAUGGGUUGUAAACCUCUUUUAUGCGGGGAUAAAGGUGUCCACGUGUGGAUGUUUGCAGGUACCGCAUGAAUAAGGACCGGCUAAUUCCGUGCCAGCAGCCGCGGUAAUACGGAGGAUGCGAGCGUUAUCCGGAUUUAUUGGGUUUAAAGGGUGCGCAGGCGGAUUUUUAAGUCAGCGGUCAAAUCGUGGGGCUCAACCCCAUCCAGCCGUUGAAACUGGGGAUCUAGAGUGUGCGAGAGGUAUGCGGAAUGCGUGGUGUAGCGGUGAAAUGCAUAGAUAUCACGCAGAACCCCGAUUGCGAAGGCAGCAUACCGGUGCACAACUGACGCUCAGGCACGAAAGCGUGGGUAUCGAACAGGAUUAGAUACCCUAGUAGUC